AAACGACUCUCGGCAAUGGAUAUCUCGGCUCACGCAUCGAUGAAGAACGUAGCAAAAUGCGAUACUUGGUGUGAAUUGCAGAAUCCCGUGAACCAUCGAGUUUUUGAACGCAAGUUGCGCCCGAAGCCAUCCGGUUGAGGGCACGCCUGCCUGGGCGUCACG
rnacentral:rRNA from 1 species